rnacentral:rRNA from 1 species
AGUCCCGGCAAACUACGUGCCAGCAGCCGCGGUAAACGUACGGGGCGAGCGUUAUCCGGAUUUACUGGGCGUAAAGCGCACGUAGCCGGCGCUGUAAUUUGGGCGUGAAAGCUCCCGGCUCAACUGGGAGAGCUCGUUCAAAACUGCAGUGCUUGAGGUUGGAAGAGGAGAGUGGAAUUCCCGGUGUAAUGGUGGAAUGCGUAGAUAUCGGGAGGAACACCAGUGGCGAAGGCGGCUCUCUGGUCCAACCCUGACGCUGAGGUGCGAAAGCGUGGGGAGCGAACGGGAUUAGAUACCCCGGUAGUCCACGCUGUAAACGAUGGAUACUAGGUGUGGGAGGUUACUUACCCCUUCCGUGCCGUAGCUAACGUGAUAAGUAUCCCGCCUGGGGACUACGGCCGCAAGGUUAAAACUCAGAGGAAUUGACGGGGGCCCGCACAAGCAGCGGAGCGUGUGGUUUAAUUCGAUGAUACGCGAAGAACCUUACCUGGGCUUGACAUGUUGGUAGUAGUGAAGCGAAAGCGGAUCGACCCUUCGGGGAGCCAUCACAGGUGCUGCAUGGCUGUCGUCAGCUCGUGUCGUGAGAUGUUGGGUUAAGUCCCGCAACGAGCGCAACCCUUGUCGUUAGUUACAUGUGUCUAGCGAGACUGCCGGUACCAAACCGGAGGAAGGUGGGGAUGACGUCAAGUCAGCAUGGUCUUUAUGUCCAGGGCUACACACACGCUACAAUGGCCGGUACAAUAGGUUGCCACACCGCGAGGUGGAGCUAAUCCCCAAAGCCGGUCUCAGUUCGGAUUGUAGUCUGCAGCUCGACUGCAUGAAGGCGGAGUUGCUAGUAACCGCGCGUCAGCAAUAGUGCGGUGAAUGCGUUCCCGGGCCUUGUACACACCGCCCGUCACAUCACGGAAGUCGGUAACACCUGAGGUCGGCGACCCAACCGCAAGGAGGGAGCUGCCUAAGGUGGGAUCGGUAACUGGGAUGAAGUC